rnacentral:sRNA from 1 species
UUUUUUAUCCUCCUUUCAUGUAAUAAUUUAUUACAGAAACUGGCUUACACUGGUUUGCUUUUUACGGUAGGAGGUUCCCCUCCUGAGCCUGCUAUAGUGCUUCUGCUUCUCAUUCCUUUGUUUAGCGAUGGGUCUCAUAUAGCACAGCUUGGCCUCCAACUUACUAUGUACCCAACGAUGACCCUAAACUUCUGAUCCUCCUACUUCUACCUCCUGAGUGCUGCUGGGAUUUUAGGAAUGUGCCUCAGUGCCCAGUUUUAUGGCGUUUGGAGAUCAAGCCAAGGCUUUUGUGUAUGCACUUCACUGUGUGGACCAACAAAUACUAGGUACAAAGCCAACUGAAGUCAACUGCCAAGUAAGGGACUGCCAUUCUAUUAGCCCUCCUAUACAGUUGGUAAGUCUGCUUGUCCUAUUUCCACUCUGACAGUCUGAAUGACUCUCUAGUAUUAGCAUUCCUUUUUCCCCAACACUAGCACAAAAAAUGUUAGUAAUUACCGAAGUUAGAUAAGUCAUGGUGCGCACAAUGAUCCCCCUUUUAAAAUAAAAUAAUAAAACUGGAAAAUGAUUAAUUCUUUCCUCAUGCCUGAGUCAGGUAUGCUUGAGUCGGUCACUGUCGCAUUGACUGGGGGAGCUUAGAAGCUGUCUUUUGAGUCGAUGGCUCAAACAAGCUUCGGCCUCUCCUGGUGCACAAGACCAUCGCAUUUGAUGCUAUUUAUUACGACUGAACCCUGUUCGUGUGGUAUCAGCCUUGUCUCUGUGGAAGCCCGUCUAUUAUCAAAAGCCUCUGCGUGCUUUAUGUUCAAAGCGCCCAGCAAUGGAUAGAAAGCCAGGACUGUCCUAGAUCAGGGGACCGUCACAUCACCCAGAAGCUGAGGAAAUGAUUACAAGGCACCUGUCUGAGCUCUGCAUGGUCCUGCUGGAGAGAAGCAAAACACCCUUCAGGUCUUGUAAUUUAACUGCUGCCAGUCAUAUCUCAGAACAAGUUUAGGUCAGCUUCUGAAGAUGUUUCAAGUUUAUUAUAUGCAAUUACUAUAGCCUGAUUUUACGUGAGUAAUGACCUCUCAGUUCUCUGGGCCAGUGUGUAGGCAACCCUCAUGGCUAUGAGACAGAAAAAAAAAUAUUUAGCACAUUCAAAUAUUUAAAGAGAAAAAGAUCUAACCUGAUUAAAACGACUGAAAACAAUUGCUAUUAUUCACCCCAUUUUAGUGGUAUUUCUUUGUCGUUUGUGUCUGCUUUUUUAUAUUCGUGGUGCAUGGGUGCCGCUGACAUGUGUAUGUGCACAUGCAUGUGCACAUUCUCACAAGUGGAUUCUCACAAGAUCAAUUUUGUCACCUCCAUUUUAAACUUUUAAAAAACUGAUGUUAAGGUCCCCGUGGUUGACAUGAUCAUCUAACCUUUUCAAUCAUAUUGAAAUUUAUUCCAAAAUGUUUCAGAAGUUAUGUGUGAGAGGAGUGUUUAUAAGAAAGGAUUUGCUGAUGAUGCUCUUCUACAGUGUAGAUGUAGAUCAGUACAAUACAGUGGCCAUAUUUGAGACCUCAGAAGAUAGAAUUUUCUAGUCAGAGGAGACUGUAGUAACUGAGAGGAUUGAACUUAAAAAGUGGCAACUGUUGUGAGCUAACCUAUUGUGUUCCAGGCAGAGAUCACCUGACUUCCCAAGACUUCCCUCAAGCCCAGGAUUGAUUGACCUCAGACAUGAUGACACAAUAGAAGAAUGACAUGAAUUUUGUCUGAGGGCAGUUAGCGGGAGGCUGGAGGCUGAAGGCUCGAGGCUGGAGGCUGGAGGUGCAUGUGGGUAGUGGGACCUCAGAACAGGGUGACAAAGAGCAAGUGGGAGCUGCAUAUGUUGUAUGCCUGUGUCUUCCCAGCCCAGACCUUGUAAUGAAAUGUAAGAGAUGAACAAAAGUUUAAGGAAGUGUAAGGCACAGUUAACAGUUAACGGUCCUAUGGCCUUUUAAACACACACACACA